rnacentral:rRNA from 1 species
AGCGAUGGCGGAGGCUACCAUGCAAGUCGAGCGGUAGCACAGAGAGCUUGCUCUCGGGUGACGAGCGGCGGACGGGUGAGUAAUGUCUGGGAAACUGCCUGAUGGAGGGGGAUAACUACUGGAAACGGUAGCUAAUACCGCAUAACGUCGCAAGACCAAAGAGGGGGACCUUCGGGCCUCUUGCCAUCAGAUGUGCCCAGAUGGGAUUAGCUAGUAGGUGGGGUAACGGCUCACCUAGGCGACGAUCCCUAGCUGGUCUGAGAGGAUGACCAGCCACACUGGAACUGAGACACGGUCCAGACUCCUACGGGAGGCAGCAGUGGGGAAUAUUGCACAAUGGGCGCAAGCCUGAUGCAGCCAUGCCGCGUGUAUGAAGAAGGCCUUCGGGUUGUAAAGUACUUUCAGCGGGGAGGAAGGUGCUGAGGUUAAUAACCUCAGCAAUUGACGUUACCCGCAGAAGAAGCACCGGCUAACUCCGUGCCAGCAGCCGCGGUAAUACGGAGGGUGCAAGCGUUAAUCGGAAUUACUGGGCGUAAAGCGCACGCAGGCGGUCUGUCAAGUCGGAUGUGAAAUCCCCGGGCUCAACCUGGGAACUGCAUUCGAAACUGGCAGGCUAGAGUCUUGUAGAGGGGGGUAGAAUUCCAGGUGUAGCGGUGAAAUGCGUAGAGAUCUGGAGGAAUACCGGUGGCGAAGGCGGCCCCCUGGACAAAGACUGACGCUCAGGUGCGAAAGCGUGGGGAGCAAACAGGAUUAGAUACCCUGGUAGUCCACGCCGUAACGAUGUCGACUUGGAGGUUGUGCCCUUGAGGCGUGGCUUCCGGAGCUAACGCGUUAAGUCGACCGCCUGGGGAGUACGGCCGCAAGGUUAAAACUCAAAUGAAUUGACGGGGGCCCGCACAAGCGGUGGAGCAUGUGGUUUAAUUCGAUGCAACGCGAAGAACCUUACCUACUCUUGACAUCCAGAGAACUUACCAGAGAUGCAUUUGGUGCCUUCGGGAACUCUGAGACAGGUGCUGCAUGGCUGUCGUCAGCUCGUGUGUGAAAUGUUGGGUUAAGUCCCGCAACGAGCGCACCCUUAUCCUUUGUGCCAGCGGUCCGGCCGGACUCAAGGGAGACUGCCAGUGAUAAACUGGAAGGAAGUUG